GAAAGCCAUAUGCAUUGGAAGAAGCUUGUAUAGUUUGGGAAGGGGUUUUGACUGAUCAAAAGAACAAUCUACUUCAAC
rfam:Capsicum annuum cultivar Zunla-1 chromosome 5, whole genome shotgun sequence